AUGGCAUUGGAUAACUGUAGUAUAUUGCCUGAAUCAGAGAUCUUAAACAAUGAAAGUAGAGAAGAGGGACAUCAUGGCAUUCCCAAUCAAAAUGGCAUGGCUUCUUCAGACAGUGAUUCGGGCAACAGCAUCUUCCUAACGCAAGCAGUGACCUCAACUCCACCGCUUAGGAGAGUGAGGAGGAAUCGGGCGAGGUCACAGACCCACCCCUUGUAUUUAUGUGAGGAGAGUUCUGACAGCGAAAGCGAAGAAACCAGCGCAUUCUUUGAACUUCACAGUAAGACAGACAGCUGGUGUCCUAGGAGUUGCAGAGAUAAGCCCCAUUCCAGAGAAGCAAGUGUACGAAAGAGGAGGAUACACUUUCCAUUCCUUCAAAAGUAUCAUCCAAAAGCUCGCCUGACAUCUCUCCAGCGACAAACUUUGGUGAACUCUUCAAUAGGUGGAUUCUUCCAGUGCAUGACAAGUUUGUCUUUAACAGAGAAAAGCAAGAAACCAGAAUACCAGGAUCCACUUUCAGAUUUGUCUGGUUUGGAAGAAGAGACUGAAGAACACAAAGACAACCAAGAGGACAUGCGUAUAGUGGAUGGAGCUUUGUUUGUUCAGAAUUUUCACAAGAGAAUCAGACAAGAGUGGGGUUCUAAUACCAGGAAAAGUCCGUCAGAAGUCAGGAAAACAAGUCCAAGAAACAAGUCCAAGAAACUGGACAAGUCCAAGAAACUUCCCAAGUCCAAGAAACUUUCCAAUGCCAAGAAACUUUCCAAUGCCAAAGAUGUCUCAAAAGGCUUAAAAAUUGGGCAAUCCAGAAGGCCAAAACAAUCAAGUCACUCAGAGGUCAAGAAAACAAGGAAAGUUCAGAAUACCAAGGAUGCCUCAAAAACCCCAGAGAUUAAACAAACCCAAUUAAGAAAGUCAACACGGCUUGCUGCGAAAGAGAAUAGUACCCAAAACUUGGCUGGUCAUGGCAGCUCUCCAUGCAGUGAAAAUGGAAAAGAGAAGAGAGUCAAUGAUAAGUCCUGCCGCACGCAGGUACUGGAGACAUCCCAAGCUGGUCCGAACUACAAAGCUCCAUCUCAUGUCACAUCUCAGGCCUCGGAUGUUUCUGACACAGAAGAUGAACUUCAUGUAGUCAUCGCUGAGCAAACAGAAAAUGCCCAAACAGACAUUGAGGUAAGCAACCUGCAAACACAGUCACUGUCAUUAGAGAGUACUUCUGAGCCCCAACCAAAAAUCCAGAUUCAGCCGGCCAUGGAGAGUGCUGUGGCAUCCUCUCAAGACUGUGAGUUGCAAACUGUAGAUGGUGAUUCUAUUUCAUUGCUUGGUACAGCAAAGAACAAGGAUAAGAAGGACUGCUUGGAAUCUCCAGCAGUGGAUGUGUGCAGUGUGCCCAGAGAAAGUAUUAGUAUCUCACAGGACACCAUGCUUAGCCCUGCACCUGCACCGGAAACUGAAACUGAAAUGGAAAUGGAAAUGUUAUCCCAGAGAAAGAAGAAACACAAAAGCAAAGAGAACCCAUGUGAUCUAGAAGAUCCUGUUCAACAGGAAAGUCAAGAAGAGAUUAAUUCAGACCCGCCUGAGGGUCAGCGUGACCAACACAGAGAGAGGAAAAAGAGGAAAAAGAAAACAUACGAUGCACUGGAAUGUGAGCAAACAACUUCAGAUCCCCAAGCCUUAUCUCCUGUUGAGAAGGCGAGGGAUAAACAGCUGUUAUCAUCUCAAGUGUGCGAGGUGCCAUCUUGUGAUGACAAUUCUGUGAAGAGAGUCGAUGAUAAGUCCUGCCACACGCAGGUACUGGAGACAUCCCAAGCUGGUCUGAACUACAAAGCUCCAUCUCAUGUCACAUCUCAGGCCUCAGAUGUUUCUGACACAGAAGAUGAACUUCAUGUAGUCAUCGCUGAGCAAACAGAAAAUGACCAAACAGACAUUGAGGUAAGCAACCUGCAAACACAGUCACUGUCAUUAGAGAGUACUUCUGAGCUCCAACCAAAAACCCAGAUUCAGCCGGCCAUGGAGAGUUCUGUGGCAUCCUCUCAAGACUGUGAGUUGCAAACUGUAGAUGGUGAUUCUAUUUCAUUGCUUGGUACAGCAAAGAAGAAGAAAAAGAAAAAGAACAAGGAUAAGAAGGACUGCUUGGAAUCUCCAGCAGUGGAUGUGUGCAGUGUACCCAGAGAAAGUAUUAAUAUCUCACAGGACACCAUGCUUAGCCCUGCACCUGCACCGGAAACUGAAAUGGAAAUAGAAAUGUUAUCCCAGAGAAAGAAGAAAAAGAAGAAACACAAAAGCAAAGAGAAUCCAUGUGAUCUAGAAAAUUCUGUUCAACAGGAAAGUCAAGAACAGAUUAAUUCAGACGCGCCUGAGGGUCAGCGUGACCAACACAGAGAGAGGAAAAAGAGGAAAAAGAAAACAUACGAUGCACUGGAAUGUGAGCAAACAUGGAAUGGAAAAGAGAAGAGAGUCGAUGAUAAGUCCUGCUGCACGCAGGUACUGGAGACAUCCCAAGCUGGUCCGAACUACAAAGCUCCAUCUCAUGUCACAUCUCAGGCCUCGGAUGUUUCUGACACAGAAGAUGAACUUCAUGUAGUCAUCGCUGAGCAAACAGAAAAUGCCCAAACAGAUAUUGAGGUAAGCAACCUGCAAACACAGUCACUGUCAUUAGAGAGUACUUCUGAGCCCCAACCAAAAACCCAGAUUCAGCCGGCGAUGGAGAGUUCUGUGGCAUCCUCUCAAGACUGUGAGUUGCAAACUGUAGAUGGUGAUUCUAUUUCAUUGCUUGGUACAGCAAAGAAGAAGAAGAAGAAGAAGAAGAAAAAGAACAAGGAUAAGAAGGACUGCUUGGAAUCUCCAGCAGUGGAUGUGUGCAGUGUGCCCAGAGAAUGUAUUAGUAUCUCACAGGACACCAUGCUUAGCCCUGCACCUGCACCGGAAACUGAAAUGGAAAUGUUAUCCCAAAGAAAGAAGAGAAAGAAGAAACACAAAAGCAAAGAGAACCCAUGUGAUCUAGAAGAUCCUGUUCAACAGGAAAGUCAAGAACAGAUUAAUUCAGACGCGCCUGAGGGUCAGCGUGACCAACACAGAGAGAGGAAAAAGAGGAAAAAGAAAACAUACGAUGCACUGGAAUGUGAGCAAACAACUUCAGAUCCCCAAGCCUUAUCUCCUGUUGAGAAGGCGAGGGAUAAACAGCUGUUAUCAUCUCAAGUGUGCGAGGUGCCAUCUUGUGAUGACAAUUCUGUGAUGUUGAACAGCUCGAAAAAGAAAAAGAAAAAGAAAAAGACAAAAGAAAGGAAGGAGGACGUGGAGCAAACAACUUCAGAUCCCCAAGCCUUAUCUCCUUUUGAGAAGGCGAGGGAUAAACAGCUGUUAUCAUCUCAAGUUUGCGAGGUGCCAUCUUGUGAUAACAAUUUUGUGAUGUUGAACAGCUCGAAAAAGAAAAAGACAAAAGAAAGGAAGGAGGACGUGGAGCAAACAACUUCAGAUCCCCAAGCCUUAUCUCCUUUUGAGAAGGCGAGGGAUAAACAGCUGGUGUCAUCUCAAGUUUGCGAGGUGCCAUCUUGUGAUGACAAUUCUGUGAUGUUGAACAGCUCGAAAAAGAAAAAGACAAAAGAAAGGAAGGAGGACGUGGAGUCUCGACCAGUGGAAGAAUUGGAUUCCCUCAAAGACGCAAACAGUUUCUCUCAGGAGUACCUAGUAACCAGUGCACAGGAAGCUGUUCAUAGAAAGAAGAUGAAAAAGAUAAGUGAUGGUCCAGAUGAUGGAGGAAAAAGAAAGAGGGAAAAUGACACAUCAGAAGGCAACAUUUGCUAUUCUACAGAUCCUGAAGCUCAAAUGUUGUACCCAAAAAAGAAGAAGAAGAAAAGACAUAAAAGUGGAAACCCAGGUAGCUUAGAAGCAAUAAGAUCUGAAGAGAACUGUUCUCACGGUCUGCGGGAACUAGAUACAAGUAAAACAACAUGCCAAAGUGCCUGCUCCUUUGAAAAGGAUCCAGCUUCAGUUCACUCUGACACACCUGAAGGCCAAAAUGUUCAACUAAGAGACGGUCCCAACAAUAAAGAAAAAAGAAAGAUGUAUCGUUGGACUCUGGUGCCAUGGAGUUGA
rnacentral:lncRNA from 1 species